rnacentral:lncRNA from 1 species
UUUGGUUCAGCUGUAUUUUCUAACUUUGCUGAGCACACUUUGCUAUUUUCACGUAGCAUUCAUGCUGUCUUUGACUUUGUUGCUCUUUUCCACUCCUACCCUUUAUCUGAAUCUUUCCUUUCCAUUAUCUCCAUUGUCCCUGUCCUUCUCAAUUUGAUUCCACUCCCAGCAGGUUUUCCUUAUUGUGAAGUCCUGUCCUGAAAGGAUCUGCUUGGUCUCUUUUGAGAAUGCACACAGGUAGAUUGCAUUGAAUACUGAUGGAAUUUCUGCUUUCUCCUUGACUUGUCCUGCUGCACUUUAAGUUUAAGAUUUACUCAGAAAUAUGAAAAGGACCUGCUGUCACCAUGCCACAAAGAGGAGAACUUACCAUCAUUGCACUACAAACUGUCAACCCUUAGCUGGCUCUGCACCUUGGUUUCUCUCAGCAUAGGGUUACAGAGGCAACUACCAAGCAACCAACCCAAUUAAAGAUGAAGCCAACUUCCUGGAGAAGAGUGAUUUCCUGGGGAGUACAGCACCGAGGUAAUCACCACCGAGGAAAGCGAAAGCAAAAGACGGAGUCAUGGGUUUCAGCCAUAGUCUCGGUUUCACUGGAGCUGUGUCAAGCAGCGAGAUUGUGACCGUGGCCUGUGCCAGCAAGAGAGCCGGAAAGCAGAGGAAAACACUGAACUGCAUUGCUCUAAUAAAACUGUUUUGGAUAAGAGGUCCUGAUGAAAUCCACAUGGCUUGCAUUCAAUUGAAAUGAUGUUGAUUGACAAGGGAAAGGACUUUAAUAACUGCCAAGAGGAGACCCUCCAGGACAUAACCAUGACCAGGCCUGAUUUGCAGGAUGUGCCCCUGGAGGACCCUGAGGAGACAUUCUUCAUGGAUGAGAGCAGCUUCGUCAAAAAAUGAGUCAGGUAAUCCAACAGGAACUACAAAAUCGAGUUCAGGAGGCCAGGCCAGCCCCUCAACCUGAUGUCACCCACCAUAAAUUUCAGCCUGGAGAUCUGGUGCUGAUAAAGAGACAUUCCUCUAAGGCUCUGGAGCCACAUUGGGAGGGACCUUUCCAGGUGAUUUUAAUGACGCCAUCCACUAUAAAGAUCACAGAAAAAACACCCUGGAUACAUCACUGCCACAUCAAAGCGGCUCCUGAGG